GACGGAGGAUGCAAGCGCUAUCCGGAAUGAUUGGGCGUAAAGCGUACGCAGGUGGCUGUUCGAGUCUGCUGUCAAAGACCGGGGCUUAACCCUAGAAAGGCAGUGGAAACUGGACGGCUGGAGUGCAGUAUGGGUAGAGGGAAUUCCCAGUGUAGCGGUGAAAUGCGUAGAGAUUGGGAAGAACACCGGUGGCGAAAGCGCUCUGCUGGACUGCAACUGACACUGAGGGACGAAAGCUAGGUGAGCGAAAGGG
rnacentral:rRNA from 1 species